CUUCUUGCCAUGUGACACCUCCCCUUUCACCUUCUGCCAUGAGUAGCAGCUUCCUGGGGCCUUACCAGAAAUCAAGCAGAUGCUGGCACUGUGCUUGUAGAGCCUGCAGAACUGAAGCUGAACUGACAUGAAGCAAAAGAAGUCUGUUGUUUUGGACUGCGUUCCACACUUGGCUGUCCCAGAGGUUGAUCUCACCACCAUUCAGAGAUCCAAGAGGAAGCCACCUGUUAGACUAAAGAAAACUCAGACUCAGCAUGGGGCAGAACAUCUGUGGACGCUGAAUACUGCCAUUUGACUCUUUUUCCUAGAGUUUAAUUAUUUUCUAUUAGCACACCCUGGCUUUUUUGACUGU
rnacentral:lncRNA from 1 species